rnacentral:tRNA from 1 species
UAAAAGAUAAGCUAAACAAGCUAUUGGGCCCAUACCCCACCUAUAAAGGUCAAAUCCUUUUCUUUUUA